ACGGGACGGGACCAGGCGGAACAGCUGCUCCGCACACGGGACCCCAUCCCCGCUGCCCCGGGGCUACAGCGACCCGCGGGCCCCGGGCCGGGCAUUACCCCAUCGCUGCCCGCGCCGGGGACACGAAGGGCUCACGGCUGGCUAAAGGCGGCUUCAGGGCCGGGAGGAACGGAGCGCUGGCAGCGGGGCCGGACACGGAACCUGCCCGGGCACACGCGGGGAAGCUGCCGCAGCGUGGAGACCCCCAUGCGCCGCUCCCCGACACUGCGCCGGGGACGCAGCCCGGGGGCGAACCCUCGCCGCGCCGUGCGGGUUAAACAUCCCCUGCCCAGGGGAGCUGAGCCCCCCCAACUCCCCAGUGCUGGGGGUGGGUAAACGGGGGCCGGUCUCCUGCAGCAGGAAGAGCCCGCCCGCCUCAGAGGGGCUCAGUCCCGGCAAAGUAACAAAGAAGCGCCGUGAAACUGCCCGAACCCUGAGGAGGUCGGAGACGCCGGUGCCCAUGCGGGACGCCAACAGCUGUGCAGCCGCCCGGGCCAGCAGUCCGGCGGGGCGGGCGGCCGCGGAGGGAGGCGGUGACCGGGACAGCGCCGCGAGUGGGGCGCUGCCCCGCUGCAAGACCCGGUCGGCGGGGCCAAAGGCCACGGCCCCGUUCAAGAGCCCCGGUGCCCCCCCGAGCUUGGCCGUCGCUGCGCCGGAGCCCCCAGCCCCGCCGCGGCGCCCCGGGGAGCGGUGGCGGCCCGCUCCCAACAGGGGGCAGCCGCGCUCGCCGCAGCCGCGGGAGGCGGCGG